rnacentral:rRNA from 1 species
CCUACGGGGGGCUGCAGUGGGGAAUAUUGGACAAUGGGGGGAACCCUGAUCCAGCCAUGCCGCGGGUGUGAAGAAGGCCCUCGGGUUGUAAAGCACUUUCAGUGAGGAAGAACGCCUGGUGGUUAAUACCCAUCAGGAAAGACAUCACUCACAGAAGAAGCACCGGCUAACUCCGUGCCAGCAGCCGCGGUAAUACGGAGGGUGCGAGCGUUAAUCGGAAUUACUGGGCGUAAAGCGCGCGUAGGUGGCUUGAUAAGCCGGUUGUGAAAGCCCCGGGCUCAACCUGGGAACGGCAUCCGGAACUGUCAAGCUAGAGUGCAGGAGAGGAAGGUAGAAUUCCCGGUGUAGCGGUGAAAUGCGUAGAGAUCGGGAGGAAUACCAGUGGCGAAGGCGGCCUUCUGGACUGACACUGACACUGAGGUGCGAAAGCGUGGGUAGCAAACAGGAUUAGAUACCCUGGUAGUC